rnacentral:rRNA from 1 species
UACGUAGGGGGCUAGCGUUGUCCGGAUUUAUUGGGCGUAAAGAGCGUGUAGGCGGCCAGGUAGGUCUGCUGUGAAAACUCGAGGCUUAACCUCGAGAUGUCGGUGGAAACCAUCUGGCUAGAGUCCGGAAGAGGAGAGUGGAAUUCCUGGUGUAGCGGUGAAAUGCGCAGAUAUCAGGAAGAACACCAAUGGCGAAGGCAGCUCUCUGGGACGGUACUGACGCUGAGAAGCGAAAGCAUGGGGAGCGAACAGG